rnacentral:rRNA from 1 species
GCGGCGUGCUUAACACAUGCAAGUCGAACGGAAAGGCCCUGCUUUUGUGGGGUGCUCGAGUGGCGAACGGGUGAGUAACACGUGAGUAACCUGCCCUUGACUUUGGGAUAACUUCAGGAAACUGGGGCUAAUACCGGAUAGGAGCUCCUGCUGCAUGGUGGGGGUUGGAAAGUUUCGGCGGUUGGGGAUGGACUCGCGGCUUAUCAGCUUGUUGGUGGGGUAGUGGCUUACCAAGGCUUUGACGGGUAGCCGGCCUGAGAGGGUGACCGGCCACAUUGGGACUGAGAUACGGCCCAGACUCCUACGGGAGGCAGCAGUGGGGAAUAUUGCACAAUGGGCGGAAGCCUGAUGCAGCAACGCCGCGUGCGGGAUGACGGCCUUCGGGUUGUAAACCGCUUUCGCCUGUGACGAAGCGUGAGUGACGGUAAUGGGUAAAGAAGCACCGGCUAACUACGUGCCAGCAGCCGCGGUGAUACGUAGGGUGCGAGCGUUGUCCGGAUUUAUUGGGCGUAAAGGGCUCGUAGGUGGUUGAUCGCGUCGGAAGUGUAAUCUUGGGGCUUAACCCUGAGCGUGCUUUCGAUACGGGUUGACUUGAGGAAGGUAGGGGAGAAUGGAAUUCCUGGUGGAGCGGUGGAAUGCGCAGAUAUCAGGAGGAACACCAGUGGCGAAGGCGGUUCUCUGGGCCUUUCCUGACGCUGAGGAGCGAAAGCGUGGGGAGCGAACAGGCUUAGAUACCCUGGUAGUCCACGCUGUAAACGGUGGGUACUAGGUGUGGGGUCCAUUCCACGGGUUCCGUGCCGUAGCUAACGCUUUAAGUACCCCGCCUGGGGAGUACGGCCGCAAGGCUAAAACUCAAAGGAAUUGACGGGGCCCCGCACAAGCGGCGGAGCAUGCGGAUUAAUUCGAUGCAACGCGUAGAACCUUACCUGGGUUUGACAUGGAUCGGGAGUGCUCAGAGAUGGGUGUGCCUCUUUUGGGGUCGGUUCACAGGUGGUGCAUGGCUGUCGUCAGCUCGUGUCGUGAGAUGUUGGGUUAAGUCCCGCAACGAGCGCAACCCUUGUUCACUGUUGCCAGCACGUUAUGGUGGGGACUCAGUGGAGACCGCCGGGGUCAACUCGGAGGAAGGUGGGGAUGACGUCAAGUCAUCAUGCCCCUUAUGUCCAGGGCUUCACGCAUGCUACAAUGGCUGGUACAGAGAGUGGCGAGCCUGUGAGGGUGAGCGAAUCUCGGAAAGCCGGUCUCAGUUCGGAUUGGGGUCUGCAACUCGACCUCAUGAAGUCGGAGUCGCUAGUAAUCGCAGAUCAGCAACGCUGCGGUGAAUACGUUCCCGGGGCUUGUACACACCGCCCGUCAAGUCAUGAAAGUUGGUAACACCCGAAGCCGGUGGCCUAACCGUUGUGGGGGAGCCGUCGAAGGUGGGACUGGUGAUU